rnacentral:lncRNA from 1 species
UUAAAUAUUAAAUAUUCGAAUAAAAUAUUUAAUACUAAUUUACUUUGUAUAAAAAUUUUGUUAUUUGAUUGAGAGUAAGAUAUUUUGAUUUUUAUUUUUGAAAUAUCUUGACAUACAUAAUUUAAUAAAAUAAUAUAUCUCAUCUAUGAGAUGAUUUAUUUUAUUCUAAAAAACUAGUUUGAAGGCUAAAUAUCGUGAUCUAUUCUAGAUAUUUGAUUACAUUCGUUGUCUACUAAGUACUAUAAUUUUUGUGAAUAAAUUAAAGAGAUAUACGAAAUAAGAUAUUCAUACAUCCAAACAAAUUUUAUUUGAAUGUCAGAAUAAGUUAUCCGGUGAUAAUUUGUUCGAUGUGAAAAUUUUUGUUUUGUAAUUGAAAGCUAGAUGUUUGAUUUUUGCUCUUUAAAAAGUGUUGCCAUUUAUGAUUCUAUAGAAUAAUAUAUUU